AGAGAGAGAGAGAGAGGAAGGGGGGGCGGUGCGGCAGAGAGGCAUCAGAGGAGCCCGGCGGGGAUGUUGCGACUGAGCUCCCGGUGAGGCUGAUGAUCGCACUCGGAGCCACACGAUGCAGUGACGGCUCCUACGAGAAGAAGCAGGAGACACGCGCCGCGGGAGAAGAGGAGCAGCACUCGAAUGCGCACGGUACGAUGAUCGGCUCGUCGUAGACCAUGGCGCCGUCGGGUCCACGGAGCAUCAAGCGGGGCUGUCAGAGAGUCCUCUACUGGAUCCCGGUCCUGUUCAUCGCCCUCAUAGUGGCGUGGUCCUACUACGCCUAUGUCUUGCAGCUUUGCAUAGAAUCCAUCGAGGACACAGGAGAAAAGGUCGUCUACCUGCUGGCCUACCACGCCAUCUUCAUCAUGUUCGUGUGGGCGUACUGGCAGACCAUCUUCACCAAACCCAUGAACCCCCUGAAGGAGUUCCAGUUGUCCCACUCUGACAAGGAGCUGCUGGAGCGCGAAGAUCGCGGAGAGUCCCAGCAGGAGAUCCUGAGGAGAAUAGCCAAGGAUCUUCCCAUCUACACGCGCACCAACUCCGGAGCGAUCCGUUUCUGUGACCGCUGCCAGCUGCUGAAGCCUGAUCGAUGCCACCAUUGUUCAGUCUGCGAUAAAUGCAUCCUGAAGAUGGAUCACCACUGCCCCUGGGUAAACAACUGCGUUGGAUUCUCCAACUACAAGUUCUUCAUGCUGUUCCUGGCCUACUCUCUACUUUACUGCCUUUUCAUUACCGCCACAGAUCUCCGGUACUUCAUCAAGUUCUGGACAAAGGGCCUCCCGGACACCCAGGCGAAGUUCCACAUCCUGUUCCUCUUCUUCUCGGCCUCCAUGUUUUCUGUCAGCCUGGCUUCCCUCUUCAUUUAUCACUGCUGGCUCGUCUGCAAGAACAGAUCCACGUUGGAGGCAGUGCGUGCUCCCGUGUUUCGUCACGGCACGGACAAGAACGGCUUCAGCCUCGGUUUCACCAAGAACUUCCUCCAGGUGUUUGGGGAUGAGGCCAAAUACUGGCCUGUUCCCGUUUCCUCCAGUUCAGGUGACGGAUGCUCAUUCCCGACCUGCCUGGUGAAUCUGGACCCUGAACAGUUGUCGUCGCCCUCUGGAUCCAGCUCAGCCAGCAAGAGUGCAGCAGAGGGCCGCCAGUUCCCGUCCAAACCGCUCCGAGAGAGCCAGAGUCGACUGCUCAUCAGCACCUCCUCCUGGUCAGAGAGUGAAGGUGCAGCAGACAAGGACAAGAAGGGCAAGGCCACGGGCACUGAUUUUUUCGAAAGUAUUCUUUGCACCCCUUUAACACUUCCACAUUUUGUGACGUUGCAGCUCAAGAUUUCAAUAAAUUGUGAUUUUUAUAAACCAACACAAAAAUGAUACAGCUUAGCUGCUCAUCUGAUUUAAAAAAAAAAAAUUUUUGAAGUGAAAAAAUGUAGAAAAGUUCAAGGGGGAUGAAUACUUCUGCAACUUUUUCUACUUGUUUUACCUCACUGGAGUGUUUUAUGUGUGUUCAUGUGUGUGUGUGUUCAGGUGCCAGUAACCCGGUGAUGACCAUUGAGAACGAGGCGUAACAAUCAUCACAUUUGACCAGAAAUGUCAAUGCUGCCCUCCUCCGUGUUUGUGCCUAUCAGAACUUGGUGAGAGUGGCGGCGACGUCCUCUGACGUCUGCCGUCACGCAACGCGACUCGACCGACGAACAGUCCGGGAUUUACCGCUGCCGUCAGAAAGUCCAGUGGAGUGGAAAAAAAAUGUAUUAAUUGAAAAAAAAAAAAUGGAGAUUGCAUUCCAGUCAUCUGCUCUUUGGAUGUAAAUAAGCACAGAGAUGCAGUCGAGAGAGGGCUGCAUUUUGUUUUCCAACUCAGCUUUUUUUCUUUUCUGUUGCGUUCAAGAACCACCUGCUGCUGGUUUUUACCUGAUUCUUUGGCACAUCAAGAAAAAAAAAAAAAAGAAAAAAAAAUGCUGAGCGAUAUCGACGCGCUCUCUCUCUGACAUUCCUUUCUCUUGUGAAAUGUUUGUUCUGUUCGUUUCCACACGCAUCAUGGUGAGUAUUGUAAACGUGAAAGAGUCGCAUGCUCUCAUCUCAGGAUGUCGACGCAAACGCAAUGCUGGUAACGACAUAAAAAAGAAGAAGAAGAAGAAGAAAUUGUAGUAAUUAGUAAAAAAAAAUUUCUGUUGUUAUUAAAAAAGGGCUCUUUUGACUCUGAGUGGCCUGAGUGAGGAUGUCACUGAAACAUCCGCUGGAGCUCACGUCCAACUGCUGCCCACACGCUUCCCGACUGUUUCCCCUCCUGGACUCGGAGUUUCUGCAACCGGCGACAACCGGCCGCCGUCGACAAGCAGAGACUGUUCAGCGUUUGGCUGAAUUAUUGAAAAACAAAACAAAACAAAAAAAACACGUCUUGUACGGUCACUUUAGGCUGGAAAUGACUACGUUAUUAAACUGUAACUCAAUAGUGCUUUCAAGAAUGUACACUUUGAAAAGCUUCGUUGUGACUUCUAUUUUUCUAUCUUUCUGUCUGUGAGGCGACGCAACAGUUGAGAUGCCUUAUGGGAAUAAAAUGAGCUCAUCCUCUGUG